UCUUUCUGGCCUAUGCUUUCUCAGAGCCUCAUGGCAUGGUGCGAAAAAUUGAUGCCUGAGAGCUUCCUCCGCACUGAUUCUCUGUCGUGGAUUCACCGUUAAACACUUAUCCACAAGAUCAAAUAGUGAUGCAGCUUGGCAACUUCCCACAAAUCUUCACUGCCCCUCAAUGUUGCAAUCUCUUUUAUGUUCCUGCACAUGCAACGGUGCGCGACCAAUCAUCAGGUACAGUAAGGUCACUCCAGCAGACCAAAUAUCAGCCUUAGGGCCUUGGUGUAGAGAUCUGAACAGCACCUGAAAAAAGCACUCAGCAUUCAGUUCUCUUUCAGUGAUUGGGAGAAUUAAGUUCUUUCCUGAUAUAUUGGAUACUACUGGACAGCAAAAGAGGGGAGAAGGGAAAAAAAUAAGAGCAUUUUGUAAAUGCAAUGCUGGACGGGUAACUACGAUAAUUUAUUUUGCCUACACGUUAAGAGCUAAAAGAAAGAGAACUGCUAAUAUCCAUACUAUGCAGACCUCAGUAACGACAGUUUUGACUCCCAGAAUCAGAACUUGGAUAGACAACAAAUCCCUUUCAAUGUAAAGGUAACAUUUUCUCUUCUUUAAUCCUAUUUCGAGGAUAAUAACAAAUUUCUAAGAACUUUUUGUCCUGAAAAGAGUUACUGAGCACCAAAUAUUCACAUGAAGAUGCAAGCCUUACUAACCACCUGCUCCCCCCAACCCAUGCAAAGAAAAGAAAGGUCGAAGCGUCGUACCUCUGGAGCUUUAAAGCCUUUAGUUCCAACACAUGGACCUUCUCGCCUGUGCUUCCCAUCACCUACAAACAACAUGAUAUAGCAACUUAAGUGGCAUUGGAGUUGGAUACAAAAAUUUGCUAUCAGUAUCUCCAGGAUGUGCAGCAACUCUUUUCCGCUUAGACAUGGGAGCCUUUACAGAUACAUGAUUUCCACCCUGCAGGGCUUCCUGCACCAGGCUUAUCAGCUCCUUUCUACCUUGGCUCGAUGGUAGAUAUUUGGUCAGGGCAGUAGGAGCUUGAUCAAAGUUCAAAUUAUGCCCCGCUUUGGAACUAUCUGUAGCACAGAAAGGAAGGCCAAUAAGUGAAUAUGGUUGGGAUGGAAGGUGGUUGCUACUCUUCAUGGUCAAGCAAAGUGUCUUAUCCCUGUCAUUUGGUUCAUCCUUCUGGUCAGGUUUGGGCAUUGAGGAGUAUUUCAGAAGGUGAUUCGGCAUGUGUCCC